rnacentral:rRNA from 1 species
UACGUAGGGGGCAAGCGUUGUCCGGAUUUAUUGGGCGUAAAGAGCGUGUAGGCGGCCUGAAAGGUCAGCUGUGAAAACUCGAGGCUCAACCUCGAGACGUCGGUUGAAACCAUCUGGCUAGAGUCCGGAAGAGGAGAGUGGAAUUCCCGGUGUAGCGGUGAAAUGCGCAGAUAUCGGGAAGAACACCGGUGGCGAAGGCGGCCACCUGGACGGAUACUGACGCUGAGACGCGAAAGCGUGGGGAGCAAACAGG